rnacentral:rRNA from 1 species
GAUGAACGCUGGCGGCGUGCCUAAUACAUGCAAGUCGAGCGAAUGGAUUAAGAGCUUGCUCUUAUGAAGUUAGCGGCGGACGGGUGAGUAACACGUGGGUAACCUGCCCAUAAGACUGGGAUAACUCCGGGAAACCGGGGCUAAUACCGGACAACAUUUUGAACCGCAUGGUUCGAAAUUGAAAGGCGGCUUCGGCUGUCACUUAUGGAUGGACCCGCGUCGCAUUAGCUAGUUGGUGAGGUAACGGCUCACCAAGGCAACGAUGCGUAGCCGACCUGGGAGGGUGAUCGGCCACACUGGGACUGAUACACGGCCCAGACUCCUACGGGAGGCAGCAGUAGGGAAUCUUCCGCAAUGGACGAAAGUCUGACGGAGCAACGCCGCGUGAGUGAUGAAGGCUUUCGGGUCGUAAAACUCUGUUGUUAGGGAAGAACAAGUGCUAGUUGAAUAAGCUGGCACCUUGACGGUACCUAACCAGAAAGCCACGGCUAACUACGUGCCAGCCGCCGCUGUAA